GAUUGAACGCUGGCGGCAUGCCUUACACAUGCAAGUCGAACGGCAGCACGGAGCUUGCUCUGGUGGCGAGUGGCGAACGGGUGAGUAAUAUAUCGGAACGUACCCUAGAGUGGGGGAUAACGUAGCGAAAGUUACGCUAAUACCGCAUACGAUCUAAGGAUGAAAGUGGGGGAUCGCAAGACCUCAUGCUCGUGGAGCGGCCGAUAUCUGAUUAGCUAGUUGGUAGGGUAAAAGCCUACCAAGGCAUCGAUCAGUAGCUGGUCUGAGAGGACGACCAGCCACACUGGAACUGAGACACGGUCCAGACUCCUACGGGAGGCAGCAGUGGGGAAUUUUGGACAAUGGGCGAAAGCCUGAUCCAGCAAUGCCGCGUGAGUGAAGAAGGCCUUCGGGUUGUAAAGCUCUUUUGUCAGGGAAGAAACGGUGAGAGCUAAUAUCUUUUGCUAAUGACGGUACCUGAAGAAUAAGCACCGGCUAACUACGUGCCAGCAGCCGCGGUAAUACGUAGGGUGCAAGCGUUAAUCGGAAUUACUGGGCGUAAAGCGUGCG
rnacentral:rRNA from 1 species